GUGGGGAAUUUUGGACAAUGGGCGCAAGCCUGAUCCAGCAAUGCCGCGUGCAGGAAGAAGGCCUUCGGGUUGUAAACUGCUUUUGUACGGAACGAAACGGUCCGGGUUAAUACCCUGGGCUAAUGACGGUACCGUAAGAAUAAGCACCGGCUAACUACGUGCCAGCAGCCGCGGUAAUACGUAGGGUGCAAGCGUUAAUCGGAAUUACUGGGCGUAAAGCGUGCGCAGGCGGUUUUGUAAGACAGGCGUGAAAUCCCCGGGCUCAACCUGGGAACUGCAUUUGUGACUGUAUAGCUAGAGUACGGUAGAGGGGGAUGGAAUUCCGCGUGUAGCAGUGAAAUGCGUAGAUAUGCGGAGGAACACCGAUGGCGAAGGCAAUCCCCUGGACCUGUACUGACGCUCAUGCACGAAAGCGUGGGGAGCAAACAGGAUUAGAUACCCUGGUAGUCC
rnacentral:rRNA from 1 species